AUUGAACGCUGGCGGCAGGCCUAACACAUGCAAGUCGAGCGGAUGAAGGGAGCUUGCUCCUGGAUUCAGCGGCGGACGGGUGAGUAAUGCCUAGGAAUCUGCCUGGUAGUGGGGGAUAACGUCCGUAAACGGGCGCUAAUACCGCAUACGUCCUGAGGGAGAAAGUGGGGGUUCUUCGGACCUCACGCUAUCAGAUGAGCCUAGGUCGGAUUAGCUAGUUGGUGGGGUAAAGGCCUACCAAGGCGACGAUCCGUAACUGGUCUGAGAGGAUGAUCAGUCACACUGGAACUGAGACACGGUCCAGACUCCUACGGGAGGCAGCAGUGGGGAAUAUUGGACAAUGGGCGAAAGCCUGAUCCAGCCAUGCCGCGUGUGUGAAGAAGGUCUUCGGAUUGUAAAGCACUUUAAGUUGGGAGGAAGGGCAGUAAGUUAAUACCUUGCUGUUUUGACGUUACCAACAGAAUAAGCACCGGCUAACUUCGUG
rnacentral:rRNA from 1 species